UCGGGGCGGGGGGGGGCGCUACUCAAUAUUAUUUUUUAUGUGCGGGGGCGGGGGGGGACCGAAUCUAAUUUUUGUUAGUUCCUUGAACCGCAUGGUUCAAGGAUGAAAGACGGUUUCGGCUGUCACUUACAGAUGGACCCGCGGCGCAUUAGCUAGUUGGGAGGUAACGGCUCACCAAGGCGACGAUGCGUAGCCGACCUGAGAGGGUGAUCGGCCACACUGGGACUGAGACACGGCCCAGACUCCUACGGGAGGCAGCAGUAGGGAAUCUUCCGCAAUGGACGAAAGUCUGACGGAGCAACGCCGCGGUGAGUGAUGAAGGUUUUCGGACGUAAAGCUCUGUUGUUAGGGAAGAACAAGUGCAAGAGUAACUGCUUGCACCCUUGACGGUACCUAACCCAGAAAGCCACGGCUAACUACGUGCCAGCAGCCGCGGUAAUACGUAGGUGGCAACCGUUGUCCGGAAUUAUUGGGCGUAAAGCGCCCGCGGCGGUUUCGUAUAAGUCUGAAUGUGAAAGCCCCCCGGCUCAACCGGGGAGGGUCAUUGGAAACUGGGAAACUUGGAGUGCAGAAAGAGGAGAGUGGAAUUUCCACGUGUAGCGGUGAAAUGCGUAGAGAUGUGGAGGAACACCAGUGGCGAAGGCGACUCUCUGGGUCUGUAACUGACGCUGAAGGAGCGAAAGCGUGGGGAGCGAACAGGAUUAGAUACCCCUGGUAGUCCACGCCGUAAACGAUGAGUGCUAAGUGUUAGGGGGGUUUCCGCCCCUUAGUGGCUGCAGCUAACGCAUUAAGCACUCCGCCUGGGGGAGUUACGGGUCGCAAGACUGAAACUCAAAGGGAAUUGACGGGGGCCCCGGCACAAAGCCGGGUGGAAGCAUUGUGGGUUUAAUUUCGAAGCAACGCGAAGAACCUUUACCAGGGUCUUGGACAUCCUCUGAACAACCCCUAGAGAUUAGGACUUUUCCCUUCGGGGACAGAGUGAACAGGUGGUGCAUGGUGUCGUACAGCUCGGUUCGAUGUAGAAAUGGUUGUGAG
rnacentral:rRNA from 1 species